GCUGAGAUGUCCGAGCGGUCUAAGGAGCUGGAUUCAAGUGAAAGAGAGUGCUACUCCCACUUGCGUGCAUCGCACGUGUAGUUCCCAGUAGGGCAACCUGCGGGGGUUCGAAUCCCCCUCUCAGCA
rfam:Puccinia sorghi strain RO10H11247 Scaffold_431, whole genome shotgun sequence.